CCGAAGCUUCCCAAUGCCAACUAACUUCAUGCCCCCUAAGAUCCCCAAGUAUGAGGGAAAAGGGGAUCCGGAGAAGCACCUCACAAAGUAUAAGACACAAAUGAGUCUUAGGGGAGCCUCACCCGCUCUUAAGUACAGAGCCUUUCAUUUAACACUGGGCGGAGCCGCCGAGGUGUGGUACAGCAGGCUUCCUUCCCUAAGCAUCAGAAGUUGGCCGGACUUGAAGAAAGCAUUUUUGAACCAGUACCUCUCACGCAGGGAAGGAGAGGCACCAAUCCAACGCCUGCAAGACAUGAGGCAGGCCCCUGGAGAGACGCUGAAAAGCUAUCUCGCCAGGUUUACAGACGAGAUUACUUACUGCCAGCAGGUCACUGACAGGGAAGCCCUUUCAGCCCUGAAAGGUGGUCUCAACAUGAACACUUUGUUU
rnacentral:lncRNA from 1 species